rnacentral:rRNA from 1 species
UACGGAGGAUGCGAGCGUUAUCCGGAUUUAUUGGGUUUAAAGGGAGCGUAGGUGGAUUGUUAAGUCAGUUGUGAAAGUUUGCGGCUCAACCGUAAAAUUGCAGUUGAAACUGGCAGUCUUGAGUACAGUAGAGGUGGGCGGAAUUCGUGGUGUAGCGGUGAAAUGCAUAGAUAUCACGCAGAACCCCGAUUGCGAAGGCAGCAUACCGGUGCACAACUGACGCUCAGGCACGAAAGCGUGGGUAUCGAACAGG